GAUUUAUUGUUCCUGGUUGUGUACCAUUAGACAGAAGUGAUGGGAUCAAUAAAACUUGGAAUUGUCUAACAAGAAAGGGCCAGUUUCUUGCUUAUUAUAUUUGUAAUAACAGAGUCCAUUGGGUAGCACUCCGGUCUGUGAAAGUCAGUGAAUCAAUAAUGCUCUUGUGGUCUGGAUAAUAAUAUACCUUGGCAUGGUGUGAGUGAUGCCAGCAGGUGGGCGGAGAGGCAGGGAAGGAAAGGUCUCAUGCCUUUCAGGUUGACACUAAGAAAGAGGCUUCCAUUCCUUUCCCUGUUCUACCACAUUCUCCUAAUGUGUAUAAGAAAUUAUUCAAAGACAGCAACAGAUUUCCCUCCUGACCUUUAUAGUUGCUGGUUUGGAAUGAUUUUUGGCUGCUUGCUGGAAAAAAAAAUUAUUGCAGAGAUGAAUUGUCAGGACAUCCGCUCCCCUUCCCAUCAGCUUUAUAAACAUUUUGUACUGGAGGCAGUGUGUGUGUGCAGAAGAAACGCUAUGGAAAGUGCUGUAGAAACAAGUGUGGUUUGUUGGCUACCAAAUCUCAAGGCUAUGCUCACUGGUCAGAAUGGUUGGUGUCCAGACCCCCAGCCCCUCAGAUUCUGAGAUGUCUGUGUACCAGGGUAGCACCAGGGAUGGGUUUUCUCUGAGACUGUCUUUUCAUGAUACAGUGUAAAAUGUUUCCCAUGAAAGGGCAGAGCUGAAGAAGCAGUGCAAGUCCAUUUGAAGACCUCUGGAAGGAAACCCCCAGCGGCUCUUUUUUCACUGAACAAGCAUUGUGGGAAUUUGGGGCUCGGCUGUGUAAUUUGUCCUCUUCUCAUUCAUUCAGGACAUGUUCAGCACCAGGAGGAAUUUGCAUCCAAGUCCGUCUCCCUGCUAAGUGGUAUUUUGAGAAUUCCGAAGCUUAGUCUCAGAGAAGAGCUGACCUGAACUUGCCGAGGCUCCCACUGCAUUGUAGCUUUUCUCUGGAGAACAAAAACUGCCAUUGUCCAGCAGCUCAUUAGCAUGACUGUACAGCCUCCGGAGUUAGCAAGGUGAUGCAAAAAUAAUAUGACAAGAUCCAUGUCUUCAAUGAGCUACAAUCCUACUGGGACAUGAGACUGUGCUUAUAAUAUGAUGAAAGAAUAAGAAAAUUUUAAAGCUAUAACAGGCAGAGCACAAGAACAAGCAGAGCUAUAACAAGCAGAGCACAAGAAGGAAGAGUGCAGAUCCAGGACUGGGACACUUAACCAAUAAUAAUACAAAUA
rnacentral:lncRNA from 1 species